CAAACACACAAAAAUAUCAUCCACAACAGCCCCGCCAAACUAGUGCAUCAGCAAUAGUUUAGUUCAUUUCUUGUACUUCUUAGAAUGGCUUUUAUGGCCUUCAAAAAUCAAAAACCGAUUACACAAGAAUAUUAGAGGGUUCUUGUUACUUGCUCUAUACCCUUGUUUUUAUCGUUUGUUCAAUUGCAUGGAAGCUGAAGUAUGAACAUGGAACCUCGUGACUAAAGUAUAGACACAUAUUGUCUCCAUGAAACUGCAGCUUGAGGGCCCAAUAGGCUUUGUGCUCCAACUCCACCGAUAGGUGGCAUGCUUUACCAUAGACCAAUUGAAAUGGUGACAAGCCUAUGGGAGUCUUGAAUGCAAUCCUGUAAGCCCAGAAAGCAUCAUCCAACUUCAAAGCCCAAUCUUUUCUUGAUGACACAACAAUAUUCUCAAGUACUCGCUUUAUCUCUUUAUUUGAAACUUCUGCUUGGCCAUUUGUUUGGGGAUGAUAAUGUUAGAAUUAAUGUCUCACGUGAGAGGCAUAUGACUUAGUAGAGACUAAUAAAUAAAUAAUUAAUGAUUAAGGACUAAAUUGUAAUUGGGCUUUCAUUGUUUGUGAGAAUCAUAGGUUUCAAGA